AAUAUUGUAAUUAUUGAGUAAAGGCGUAAAUUGUGGAAAUACGAAUAGUGUCGUGGUUAUAUGAUUAGGAGGUCGAUGUGAUAUUAUUGCAAGUGCAGGGGUGCAAGUGUGAUAAGUAUAUGUAUAUACAUAUAUAUGGACGUACAGGGAAAAACCCAUUUUUUCCCUUUUCCACUUUUUUUUCUUCUUUUCUUCCUUUCUCUCUAUUCUCUCGGCUCUCUCCCUCCGAAACUCUCCCUCCACUCCUUUCCUUGAUUUCAUCUACUUAGGGCGCGAUUCCGAACAAAGUCCAAGAAUUAAAGUUGUUAUAUGGAGCGCGGGCUUCCUAUACAUCCAAGAAAAAUUACGAUUGGGCCUCGUGGGAGCUCGGUUGACUUGGUCAAAGGGUUGGGUUUUGCUCAAAACCCAUGAGGUAUGAUUCAAGGAUGUUGGCAUGGAGUGCUCGUUGUGCAUUUGUGGCCAAACCUUUAAAAGGUAUUCAAGAAGGAUUUCAUAGCACAAAAUUUGAAAGAGCAUUUUUAGAAAAGAUGUUAUUUGUAAAUUGUAAUAAUAUUUCCGUAGAAUACUGGUAUUUUGAUGACUUGGGGCAUUCGAGUUGGAAAUGAAAUAUUUGAAUUUUAUUUGAGAACAGUGAACAGAAAGGUCUUUUGGGGUAUUAUUUAUACUACAGCGAGGACUUUAUUUAUUAAAAGUGUUUAUUAUUUA